rnacentral:rRNA from 1 species
AACGAACGCUGGCGGCAUGCCUAACACAUGCAAGUCGAACGAUGCUUUCGGGCAUAGUGGCGCACGGGUGCGUAACGCGUGGGAAUCUGCCCUUGGGUUCGGAAUAACAGUGAGAAAUUGCUGCUAAUACCGGAUGAUGUCUUCGGACCAAAGAUUUAUCGCCCAGGGAUGAGCCCGCGUAGGAUUAGCUAGUUGGUGGGGUAAUGGCCUACCAAGGCGACGAUCCUUAGCUGGUCUGAGAGGAUGAUCAGCCACACUGGGACUGAGACACGGCCCAGACUCCUACGGGAGGCAGCAGUGGGGAAUAUUGGACAAUGGGGGCAAGCCUGAUCCAGCAAUGCCGCGUGAGUGAUGAAGGCCUUAGGGUUGUAAAGCUCUUUUACCCGGGAUGAUAAUGACAGUACCGGGAGAAUAAGCUCCGGCUAACUCCGUG